UACGGAGGAUGCGAGCGUUAUCCGGAUUUAUUGGGUUUAAAGGGUGCGUAGGCGGUCCGUUAAGUCAGCGGUAAAAUUGCGGGGCUCAACCCCGAAACUGCCUCUAAUACUGUUGGACUAGAGAAUAGUUGCGGUAGGCGGAAUGUAUGGUGUAGCGGUGAAAUGCUUAGAGAUCAUACAGAACACCGAUUGCGAAGGCAGCUUACCAAACUAUAUCUGACGUUGAGGCACGAAAGCGUGGGGAUCGAACAGG
rnacentral:rRNA from 1 species